AUUGAACGCUGGCGGCAUGCCUUACACAUGCAAGUCGAACGGUAACAGGUCUUCGGAUGCUGACGAGUGGCGAACGGGUGAGUAAUACAUCGGAACGUGCCUAGUAGUGGGGGAUAACUACUCGAAAGAGUGGCUAAUACCGCAUGAGAUCUACGGAUGAAAGCAGGGGAUCGCAAGACCUUGUGCUACUAGAGCGGCCGAUGGCAGAUUAGGUAGUUGGUGGGAUAAAAGCUUACCAGGCCGACGAUCUGUAGCUGGUCUGAGAGGACGAUCAGCCACACUGGGACUGAGACACGGCCCAGACUCCUACGAGAGGCAGCAGUGGGGAAUUUUGGACAAUGGGCGAAAGCCUGAUCCAGCAAUGCCGCGUGCAGGAUGAAGGCCUUCGGGUUGUAAACUGCUUUUGUACGGAACGAAAAGCCCCGGGUUAAUACCCUGGGGUCAUGACGGUACCGUAAGAAUAAGCACCGGCUAACUACGUGCCAGCCGCCGCGGUAA
rnacentral:rRNA from 1 species